GAGUUUCUUGGAGUCUUAGCUUUCUUCUCCAAAGUUUUCAUUUUUCUCCUUUUCUCCUCCAUUGAAAUAUCACCUAACCAUUAAAGCUCUAGUCUUGUUGAAGGAGAAACCAUUGUUGAAGGUUUUGGGUGUUUUCUCAACUCCUAAAGCUUUCAUUUUUCUGUUCUAAAAAGGAACCACGAUCUGUGAGCGCAUUGGAUUCUAUUUGUGGUGUGGAACCUUGUGCUACCGAGUUUGAGUCGGAGGGGCAUACGGAUACAGGAUCAGGUACCUCAGUGGUUAAUACCUCGGGCGGCAGGAGGCCGGAGCUGAGUUGAGAUUUAUGUUUUUACGAUGAUAUGCUUGGAUGCUGACAUGUUUUACAUUUAUUAUCAUGUUAUUGGAUUUGAGACUCUAUUGGGAUUUGUUGCCAUAUUUGGUGAGCAUGGGGGUUGUCCAUGCCACAUUGAUGUUAGUUAUGCUUGUAGUUUUGAGUUGUAUAAACUAUCAGGAUGGU